UAGAAGCAGCCAUCCUUUAAAGAUAGCGUAACAGCUCACUGGUCUAAACAAGUUGUCCUGCGGCGAAGAUGUAACGGGGCUCAAGCCAUGAGCCGAAGCUUAGGAUGCCGUAAGGCAUGGUAGCAGAGCGUAGUGUGACAUAGGACCUCUCCUCUUUAGCGAUCUUCGGAUCGCCUUGGAGGAACGGGUUCUUUCUGUGAAGCCGGCGCGUGAGCGAUCCGGUGGAGAGAUCACUAGCGAGAAUGAUGACAUGAGUAGCGACAAAGAGUGUGAGAGACACUCUCGCCGAAAGUCCAAGGGUUCCUGCUUAAAGCUAAUCUGAGCAGGGUAAGCCGGCCCCUAAGCCGAGGCCGAAAGGCGUAGGCGAUGGGAACCACGUUAAUAUUCGUGGGCCAGAUGGAAGUGACGGAUCUCGAAGAUUGUUCCUCCUUAUCGGAUUGGAGGGGCCGUUCAGAGGUUCCUGGAAAUAGCUCCAUCAUCAGACCGUACCCUAAACCGACACAGGUGGACUGGUAGAGAAUACCAAGGCGCUUGAGAGAACGAUGUUGAAGGAACUCGGCAAAAU
rnacentral:rRNA from 1 species